rnacentral:rRNA from 1 species
CCUACGGGGGACAGCAGUGGGGGAUAUUGCACAAUGGGGGAAACCCUGAUGCAGCGACGCCGCGUGUGGGAAGACGGUCCUCUGGAUUGUAAACCACUGUCCCCAGGGACGAAGAUGACGGUACCUGGGGAGGAAGCUCCGGCUAACUACGUGCCAGCAGCCGCGGUAAUACGUAGGGAGCGAGCGUUGUCCGGAAUUACUGGGUGUAAAGGGAGCGUAGGGGGGGAUGCAAGUUGGGUGUCAAAACUACCGGCUCAACUGGUAGUCGCACGUAAAACUGCAGCUCUUGAGUGAAGUAGAGGCAGGCGGAAUGCCUAGUGUAGCGGUGAAAUGCGUAGAUAUGAGGAGGAACACCAGUGGCGAAGGCGGGCUGCUGGGCUUUUACUGACGCUGAGGCUCGAAAGUGUGGGGAGCAAACAGGAUUAGAUACCCCUGUAGUC